UAGAUAGAUUUUAAUUCCAUCGUUUAAGAACAUGCCGAGUAACAUUGGGGUAUGUGCUGAUUACAAUAUGUAGCUUGCUAAUUCAGUUAUGCAGGUAUGUUAGAGCAUGGGCCACUAUACCUUCGUGAGGACACACUAAAUUUUCUGACACCCCUUUUGCUAAGUAAGGUUUGAGCCUCCCUUCUCAUGGUGUUGUUUCUACAAUCAGUGGUAAAUAUUCACGGUGGCCUGCUGAGUAUAGCGUUACCAACAUUAUAUCAAUUUGACUGCCGAUGCGCCACUCUGGAGUCUGGACUGGCCAAACUGGAAGGCAGCGACUUGUCGGCAGAGUAGAGGCAAGGCAAGAGGAGGCCAUCUUCACAUCCACUCCUUCAACUGCUACCUGUGACUGCAGCAUUUCUUUCCUGUACGGCCAUUUGUUGCUUGGUUAAAAUAAUGAAAGACAGAUUAUCAAAAUGGUUGGUGGAAACUUGCAACCUUAGUGAGUUAGUGGCUGCUCACGAGUUUGUUACGGGUCUGUCAAGCAGGUGUGCUCAAGCACGCAGCAAUCCCAGUUGAGCCACCUCAGAGUCAGUGGCAAGAAUUGAGCUGCAGAAAUGUAGUUAUGUCAUAGUCGAUUACUGUUAUGCUUACCUAUGCAUCAUAAAAAAAUUAAAUAAAUUUGAUACAAAAUUGUAGGUCUUUCAGUCGUUGAAAGAUGUUGUUCUUCUCACAAAAUAAAAUACAAUUGAAUCGCGAAAGAAAAGGUGAUAACCACAUCUACUUAGUCAAAAAAAAAUUUGCCAAUAUUGUAAAUCUUAUUCUCAUCAUGACACAAUUCUAGCACCUCAACUCUUACUUUUCAUAUCCCCUCAUAAUUCAUCCUUGCAUUUGCUUUCGAAGUUGGAAAAUCAUGUGAACAAUUUUGGCUACAUCUGAAUGGUAAAUAGGAUAUAAUUUCUUAUCUAUGGAAAUUAUUUAGUUGAAUGUUAUUACUUUUAUAAAUUUUUUUUCCCAUCAUGCUAAUUU